rnacentral:misc_RNA from 1 species
CGCAGCCGCGGUAAUUCCAGCUCCAAUAGCGUAUAUUAAAGUUGUUGCAGUUAAAAAGCUCGUAGUUGAAUUUCGGGAUUGACGUGAUGGUCGUGCCUUACGGGGUAUGAACUGUUGCUGUUGAUUUCUCACCUUCUGGAGAAACUUGAUGUCCUUAAUUGGGUGUCUUGCGGAUCCAGGACCUUUACCUUGAAAAAUUAGAGUGUUUAAAGCAGGCAUUUUGCUCGAAUACAUUAGCAUGGAAUAAUAGAAUAGGACGGCAUGGUUCUAUUUUGCUGGUUUCUAGGAUCACCGUAAUGAUUAAUAGGGAUAGUUGGGGGCAUUAGUAUUCAAUUGUCAGAGGUGAAAUUCUUGGAUUUAUUGAAGACUAACUACUGCGAAAGCAUUUGCCAAGGAUGUUUUCAUUAAUCAAGAACGAAAGUUAGGGGAUCGAAGACGAUCAGAUACCGUCGUAGUCUUAACCAUAAACUAUGCCGACUAGGAAUCAGACGAUGUUAAUUUUUAAUGACUCGUUUGGCUA